rnacentral:rRNA from 1 species
GACGAACGCUGGCGGCGUGCCUCAAACAUGCAAGUCGAGCGGACGGAGACCGAACCGCAAGGGGAGGUUGAAGUUAGCGGCGAACGGGUGAGUAACACGUGGGUAACCUACCCUAAAGUCUGGGACAACGGCCCGAAAGGGCCGCUAAUACCGGAUAAUGUCUUCGGGUCGCAUGGCCUGGGGAAGAAAGCCGAAAGGCGCUUAUGGAUGGGCUCGCGUCCCAUCAGCUAGUUGGUAAGGUAACGGCUUACCAAGGCGACGACGGGUAGCCGGUCUGAGAGGAUGGUCGGCCACACUGGGACUGAGAUACGGCCCAGACUCCUACGGGAGGCAGCAGUUGGGAAUAUUGGGCAAUGGGCGAAAGCCUGACCCAGCGACGCCGCGUGAGGGAAGAAGGCCUUCGGGUCGUAAACCUCUGUCAUCGGGACGAAGAAAGUAGACGGUACCCGAGGAGGAAGCCCCUCGCUAACUACGUGCCGAGCAGCCGCGGUAAACAUACUCGUA